UUUAUGGAGAGUUUGAUCCUGGCUCAGGAUGAACGCUGGCGGCGUGCCUAAUACAUGCAAGUCGAGCGAACGGACGAGAAGCUUGCUUCUCUGAUGUUAGCGGCGGACGGGUGAGUAACACGUGGAUAACCUACCUAUAAGACUGGGAUAACUUCGGGAAACCGGAGCUAAUACCGGAUAAUAUUUUGAACCGCAUGGUUCAAAAGUGAAAGACGGUCUUGCUGUCACUUAUAGAUG
rnacentral:rRNA from 1 species